GGGGCUGCGGCUAACUCUGGAGCCCGCGAUCUGUACCCGCCGGCUUCCUCUUUUAGAACCCAGAUCUGGGCGUGGGGACUCGCGGCUCGCGGGAAUCUUGGGUGUUGCUGAGGUCUGGGAAACAAGCGCGAAACCUACUCAUGAAGUCAUUGCCUCUGCGGUCCACAGUUGAGAGCCCCAAAGAAGUAAAAUUGACCAUCAUUUGAAGUUUUUCAUACCACAUUAUGAAAUAGCCUGGAAUUUACAUCAAGAUCACCAUCUUGCAAAUCUGUAAAAUGCUCCUUUCCUUCAAGGCCAGGUGGCAAGAGCCAUGAUAAAUAAAGGUUGCAAGACUUCAUUUAUUGAAAACAGGAAUAGCAAAAUUGAGCACAGCCGCUUUUUUUUUUUUAAUAAAAGUGACGUCCUUGGCACAAAAUAAACACAUCUUGCUGUGUACACAGCCCUAUUUUUAUCAUUAGUGUUUUAAUAUUAAA